rnacentral:rRNA from 1 species
GGAUGAACGCUGGCGGCGUGCUAACACAUGCAAGUCGAACGGAGUUUUAACGGAAGUUUCGGAUGGAAGUUUAAGAACUAGUGGCGGACGGGUGAGUAACGCGUGGGUAACCUGCCUCAUACAGGGGGAUAACAGUUAGAAAUGACUGCUAACACCGCAUAAUAUAGUGAAACCGCAUGAUUUUGCUAUCAAAUAUUUAUAGGUAUGAGAUGGGCCCGCGUCUGAUUAGCUAGUUGGUGGGGUAAAAGCCUACCAAGGCGACGAUCAGUAGCCGGCUUGAGAGAGUGACCGGCCACAUUGGGACUGAGACACGGCCCAAACUCCUACGGGAGGCAGCAGUGGGGAAUAUUGGACAAUGGGGGAAACCCUGAUCCAGCGAACCGCCGCGUGAGUGAAGAAGUAUUUCGGUAUGUAAAGCUCUAUCAGCAGGGAAGAUAAUGACAGUACCUGACUAAGAAGCCCCGGCUAACUACGUGCCAGCCGCUGC